rfam:Ferrimonas marina strain DSM 16917 genome assembly, contig: EK02DRAFT_scaffold00010.10
CUUGGUGGCAAUAGCAUCGUGGUCCCACCUGAUCCCAUGCCGAACUCAGAAGUGAAACGCGAUCGCGCCGAUGGUAGUGUGGGAGUUCCCAUGUGAGAGUAGGUCACUGCCAAGC